rnacentral:rRNA from 1 species
UACGUAGGGGGCAAGCGUUGUCCGGAAUCAUUGGGCGUAAAGGGCGCGUAGGUGGCGGCCCAAGUCCGUGGUGAAAGCUCGCCGCUUAACGGCGAGUCGGCCACGGAGACUGGGUGGCUCGAGCACUGUAGGGGCAGAUGGAAUUCCGGGUGUAGCGGUGGAAUGCGUAGAGAUCCGGAAGAACACCAGUGGCGAAGGCGGUCUGCUGGGCAGUUGCUGACACUGAUGCGCGACAGCGUGGGGAGCAAACAGG